GGCCUCCCAGUGCUUACCCCAGGCUGCAUUCGUACAGUGUACAGGAGGAGGCAGAGUAAACACACCACAUAUACACCUCAGCCCUAACCCUUUUUCUGGUCUACAGUGUGAAUGGGGAGACAUGG
rnacentral:snoRNA from 1 species